rnacentral:lncRNA from 1 species
UGGCCCUUUUCUCACUGCACUCUAGUGAUUUUUGUCCUUGCACAUGACUUCAGCCAUCAGCAUCAUGCGUAGAUCUAAGACUGCAACCCAGGCCUCUCCUACAUACCCCUCUGCCUACUAGAUAUCUUUCCUUGGUGCCCUACAACAUGCUUAAAGCUGACCUCCAACCUAGAGUGGUCCUCCAUCCCUGCUUUCCCCUUAAGCCCCUACGUUCUAGCAUUCUUCCUCAGAUAAGGCUUAUACUCCUCUUCCCCACCCCUGACUGGUCUCUCUGCCUUCAGCCUCUCUCUUCUCCAAGCUAUGUCCUGUGCAGCCUUCAAGUAGGUUAUAUUUUUCUUGAAAAAAGGGCUGCACUCCAGCCUGGGCGACAGAGUGAGACACUGUCUCAAAAAAAGAGAGAAAAAAGUCUCAAAUACAAAAGCAUGCAAGUAGUUUUUUGUGUGUUUGUUUUGAACAACACAAUUAACAGGUUUGAUUUAAUAGAUUUAACCUGGCUGGGCACAGUGGCUCACGCCUGUAAUCCCAGCACUUUGGGAGGCCGAGGCGGACAGAUCACCUGAGGUCGGGAGUUUGAGACCAGCCUGACCAACAUGGAGAAACCCCGUCUCUACUAAAAAUACAAAAUUAGUUGGGUGUGGUGGCACAUGCCUGUAAUCCCAGCUACUUGGGAGGCUGAAGCAGGAGAAUCAUUUGAACCCGGGAGGUGGAGGUUGCGGUGAGCCGAGAUUGCACCAUUGCACUCCAGCCUGGGCAACAAGAGUGAAACUCUGUCUCAAAAAAAAAAAAAAAUUUAACCGAACGACUAGGUUUUUUUUUUUUUCCUCAAGCACAUAUGGAGCCUUUAGAGAUAUUAACCACCUUCUAAAGUUUCAAACGAAGUCUCAAAUACAGGCCUGGCACAGUGGCUCAUGCCUGUCAUCACAGCACUUUGGGAGGCCGACGCUGGCAGAUCACUUGAGCCCAGGCAUUUGAGACCAGUCUGGGUAACAUGGCAAAACCCCAUCUCUACAAAAAAAAUUUAAAAAUCAGUCAGGCCUAGUGGCACAUGCCUGUAGUUCCAGCUGCUUGGGAGACUGAGGUGGGAGGAUCGCUUGAGCCCAGGAGGUUGAGGCUGCAGUGGGCCAUCAGCAUGCCACUGCACUCCAGCCUGGGCGACAGAGUGAGACUCUGUCUCAAAAAAAAAGAGAAAAAAAAGUCUCAAAUACAAAAGAGCCAGUAACAUACACACCACAUUGUAUGUCUACAACAUAAUUAAAGGGUAUAUAAAAAAUAAUUGAAAAUGUAAAACACUUUUAAAUUGGUCAAAGAAGAUACCAUAAGAAAUCAGAAAAUCCUUAAAAUUGAAUUGUAAUAAAAUAUUGAAUAUUAUUUGAAAUUUGUAAUCUAUGG